GAAAGGAGAACAUCGUCUACACGUUUGGAUAAAUUCAUCUUUCUGCCCUUCACUUCAUAUCCACGUCAAAGUCCAACACCAGCAGCUUUGUUUCCUCAGUCCCGUUCCGGCUCCCAACGGCGCACACCAGCUUUGUGUUGGAAGCUCUGAUCCGCCACACGACGCCUCCGCUUCCCCCGCUCUCCAAUGUCACAGCGCUCUGAUGUUUGUUGGGACCUAGAAGAGCAAACCAGAACAUUUUUGUUUCUAAUGGGAAAGCAGUGACAGACAGCGCUGCACGUAAUUGAUCUUGUUUUGUUCCAUACGCACAGCAGGCAAAGUGCAAACUUGGAAAUUCACAAACAUGAACUUAGCUGUGCAGAAUGAGAUUUUGACUGUAGAAUCAGCAUUUCCAGACACGAGUAUAUUGUCCUUAAGUUCCAUUCCACUCGUCAAAGACUGGUGGCCUGUGAGUGUGUGAAUGCAGUUUCCUGUCUCCACAUCCCAAACUCGGAUGGAGGUGUCAAGAGAUCCGCUCACCACAUGGAUACCAUCAAACUGCAAGAAAGCCAUGAGUGUAGGCUAACACCAGUGACAACUGACUACAAGCUUCCACGAGAAUGGAGAAAAAACACACAUACAGCAAAGUUGUUUUAAGGCCAUCAUAGAGACAGCUGAUGCUAUUUUGAGAAGCCAUGGAAGACAGACAAGACUUCAGGUGGCAGUGCCUGGAAUUGAUGCUUUCACUCCACGAAUGAACAAGAUGAUCUUUUGGAAUAGUAAAGUGUGUGCAGACAGGUCUCAGUCUCUGGAUCCCACACUUUGACCAUAAAGUCAUAUGCACCACUUACAACCCUUCUGCCAUCAUACUGAACGCAUCGAACUGCAGCUACGUGGCCCAUCAGAACAUGUAAACACUGGCCCGUCUCUAUGUCCCAAACUCUCAGUGUAGCAUCUCGAGAACCACUGACCACUCUGGAGGAACAAGAAAACCCCUCCUAUAUUUAGCUUUGGAAAUAAAAGCAUUAAAACAAUAUAAAUCAGUUUGAAGUUUUCAUCUGGGAUGACCAGACAGCAUUUGUCCACUAGGCACCGAAGAUCUGGUUUGGUAUGACAUUUUAUUAGGGAUGCAAAUGACUCAAGUGCGUUUCUUCCUCGCCGUUCUCGUCUCUCCAGGAUCUAUUUGAUAUAAUUAGCAAUCUCUAUUUAAAAAGCACUCGAGUCCCGAACAGCAAAAUGAUGCCAUGAGAAACUACGUGGACUACUGUAUCCACCCAUAAAGCUUAUGAAUAUGCCGAGUUCAAAUUAGCACUUUGAGCAUCCUGCUUAAAUGACUGAAUUAACUAAUUAUAACAAUUAAAGAAGAUCUUUAGAAG